rnacentral:rRNA from 1 species
AACGAACGCUGGCGGCAGGCUUAACACAUGCAAGUCGAACGCACCUUUCGGGGUGAGUGGCAGACGGGUGAGUAACGCGUGGGAAUCUACCCUUCUCUACGGGAUAGCUCCGGGAAACUGGAAUUAAUACCGUAUACGGCCUGAGGGAGAAAGAUUUAUCGGGGAAGGAUGAGCCCGCGUUGGAUUAGCUAGUUGGUGGGGUAAAGGCCUACCAAGGCGACGAUCCAUAGCUGGUCUAAGAGGAUGAUCAGCCACAUUGGGACUGAGACACGGCCCAAACUCCUACGGGAGGCAGCAGUGGGGAAUAUUGGACAAUGGGCGCAAGCCUGAUCCAGCCAUGCCGCGUGAGUGAUGAAGGCCCUAGGGUUGUAAAGCUCUUUCAGUGGGGACGAUAAUGACGGUACCCACAGAAGAAGCCCCGGCUAACUUCGUG